UACGAAGGGGGCUAGCGUUGUUCGGAAUUACUGGGCGUAAAGGGCGCGUAGGCGGUUCCGUAAGUCAGAAGUGAAAUCCCCAGGCUCAACCUGGGAAUUGCUUUUGAGACUGUGGAACUUGAGUACAGGAGAGGUGAGUGGAAUUCCCAGUGUAGAGGUAAAAUUCGUAGAUAUUGGGAGGAACACCGGUGGCGAAGGCGGCUCACUGGCCUGUGUCUGACGCUGAGGCGCGAAAGCGUGGGGAG
rnacentral:rRNA from 1 species